rnacentral:rRNA from 4 species
UGCGAUAAGCGCCGGUAAGGUGAUAUGAACCGUUAUAACCGGCGAUACCCGAAUGGGGAAACCCAGUGUGACUCGUCACACUAUCAUUAACUGAAUCCAUAGGUUAAUGAGGCGAACCGGGGGAACUGAAACAUCUAAGUACCCCGAGGAAAAGAAAUCAACCGAGAUUCCCCCAGUAGCGGCGAGCGAACGGGGAGGAGCCCAGAGCCUGAAUCAGCAUGUGUGUUAGUGGAAGCGUCUGGAAAGGCGCGCGAUACAGGGUGACAGCCCCGUACACAAAAGCGCAUGUGCUGUGAGCUCGAUGAGUAGGGCGGGACACGUGGUAUCCUGUCUGAAUAUGGGGGGACCAUCCUCCAAGGCUAAAUACUCCUGACUGACCGAUAGUGAACCAGUACCGUGAGGGAAAGGCGAAAAGAACCCCGGCGAGGGGAGUGAAAAAGAACCUGAAACCGU